rnacentral:rRNA from 1 species
AUUGAACGCUGGCGGCAUGCUUUACACAUGCAAGUCGAACGGCAGCGCGGGCUUCGGCCUGGCGGCGAGUGGCGAACGGGUGAGUAAUGCAUCGGAACGUGCCCAGUAGUGGGGGAUAGCCCGGCGAAAGCCGGAUUAAUACCGCAUACGACCUGCGGGUGAAAGCGGGGGACCGAAAGGCCUCGCGCUAUUGGAGCGGCCGAUGUCGGAUUAGCUAGUUGGUGGGGUAAAGGCUUACCAAGGCGACGAUCCGUAGCUGGUCUGAGAGGACGACCAGCCAAACUGGGACUGAGACACGGCCCAGACUCCUACGGGAGGCAGCAGUGGGGAAUUUUGGACAAUGGGGGCAACCCUGAUCCAGCCAUGCCGCGUGCGGGAAGAAGGCGUUCGGGUUGUAAACCGCUUUUGUUCGGGAAGAAAUCCUCUGGGCUAAUACCCCGGGGGGAUGACGGUACCGGAAGAAUAAGCACCGGCUAACUACGUG